GGAGAGGUGACCGAGUGGCCGAAGGUGCUCGCCUGCUAAGCGAGUGUAGGGGUUAAACCUUACCCAGGGUUCAAAUCCCUGCCUCUCCGCCA
rnacentral:tRNA from 3 species